GACGAACGCUGGCGGCGUGCUUAACACAUGCAAGUCGAACGGUGAAGCGCCUUCCUUUUUGGUGGGUGUGGAGGAGUGGCGAACGGGUGAGUAACACGUGAGUAACCUGCCCCCUUCUUCUGGAUAACCGCAUGAAAGUGUGGCUAAUACGGGAUAUUCUGGGUCUGUCGCAUGAUGGGUCUGGGAAAGAUAUUGUUUCGGUGGGGGAUGGGCUCGCGGCCUAUCAGCUUGUUGGUGGGGUGAGGGCCUACCAAGGCGGUGACGGGUAGCCGGCCUGAGAGGGUGGACGGUCACACUGGGACUGCGCCACGGCCCAGACUCCUACGGGCGGCAGCAGUGGGGAAUAUUGCACAAUGGGCGCCAGCCUGCUGCAGCGCCGCCGCGUGAGGGAUGGAGGCCUUCGGGUUGUGAACCUCUUUCGCCAGUGAAGCAGGCCUGCCUCGUUUGUGGGUGGGUUGACGGUAGCUGGAUAAGAAGCGCCGGCUAACUACGUG
rnacentral:rRNA from 1 species